rnacentral:lncRNA from 1 species
AAGCAUAUGAGUCUUAAUGAAGUAAUAUAUUUUGGAUAUGCCAAGGAAAGGAGUGGUUUAUGCCAAAUCAAACUUGUGAAGAUUCCCCAUAUCAACCUCUUGCGGGAAUUGUUGUCUUGAUUACCUUAAUGCAUUUGUUCUUUUUUUCCUUGCAAAAGUUUUACCAUUUCCCCUACUGCAACAUUUACUGUUAACAAAAUAAUUGAACAAUUUGCUUGUCAAUCAUUAGAAG